UUGUAAUAAAUUUGUUUUUAUGCGAAAAAAUGUCUGGAAAAACAGUUGACUUAAAAACAAGUCAUGUGUGCUUAAUGAUUUAAAUGUUAGGGGUUUAUAUUUUAUGGUUUCGAACUGAAAAGGCUAGUCGCACCUCACACGGAACUGAGUCACUAAUGACGUAAGUGACGGUGAGUCAUCGUUACUGCGACUGAUUAUAUUCACUACGGUACGUGAGCUGGUGUAUAGAGGUGUUCGAGGUUAUAGAGCUAUCUACGUAUCUAUAGUGUCUAUGAAUUUUACAUUUUAAUUGAAACAGCGCUAAGCUUCUUCGCUCUAUCUGUCGUAAUCGCGAGCUGAUUCAUGUUUUGAUUAUUUUGAAAAUGCGCUUGUGACGCUGCAUAUAGUUACAAUUGCACGCGUUGAUUCACCACAGCUUGUAUUCUAUUUAACUGCUGAUAGUCUGUGGCGCUGAUAAAGCUGAAUUCUGACUCAUAAAAAAAAAAUAAUAAUAAUAACAGCCUUUGUCGUUGUGUCUAAUAAAACAAAGAAAACAGUGCUCCAAGGGAAUUUUGGGAAAUCCCAAUUAUUGCUAGGUGGAAAAUGUGAAAAGGUCAGACACGAUUUGUGUGGAAAAUGUAGGCGGCCCAUUUCGGAUUCCUAAAAUAUAUGGACAAUUAUUUUCCGUUUCUUUAAUAUUCCUAGGUAAUUGACCUAAUCGGCUGUCUGACGUUUCUAACGUCGGAUGACCGAUUUGACCUUACCUUUUCCGAGACCAUAAAAACCGCUGAAGGAAAAUCGUACGCAUCAUUUUGUCUGUCAGCCAAGUGAAUUUCAGAGAUUGACUUGAUUCAACACAAAUGGCAAGAGAAAUUAAAGUGAAGUGCUAUCUUUCAACGCAAUCCAACGAAGGAAUCGAGAUCCGUCGUUUUGUCUACAAAGAUGAUAAAGAUCCGUCGCUUAAGCAACUCAAAGACUGUGCAAGGAAUCUCUUCCACCAGUUACGGGGAGAACACUUUGAACUGAUGUACAUAGAUGAAGAAGAUAAUGACAAGGUAGCGGUUUCCAGCGAUUCGGAACUUAAAUUAGCAUGGACAGAAACAAAAUUUUCUGGAAAUCAAUUUCGGUGAAUGCCGAUGAAUGCAACUUUACAUUCGCCUGAAACUAAAUUUGAUGACGUUAUACGUGCGUUGUUAUCAAUCAUUUGGCUUUUAUAUCAUUUGAUUUUCCUCUCGCGUGUUGAGUGCGUGAACUCAAUUUUAUAAUUUAACAAAUUAGGAUAUAAAUGUUGUAUAAAUUGAUGUGUCACGUAGGUCGCGUUUAAAUUUGUGUAAAUUUGAAUUACUGAAUAUUUUAACUGUAUCUGUGGUAAUUUUUGCGAUGUCAACUUGUCAUCCAGUCAAAAUUGAAAAUUCCAGAAAGCCAAAAUACAAA